rnacentral:rRNA from 1 species
UUGAACGCUGGCGGCAGGCCUAACACAUGCAAGUCGAACGGUAACAGGAAGCAGCUUGCUGCUUUGCUGACGAGUGGCGGACGGGUGAGUAAUGUCUGGGAAACUGCCUGAUGGAGGGGGAUAACUACUGGAAACGGUAGCUAAUACCGCAUAACGUCGCAAGACCAAAGAGGGGGACCUUCGGGCCUCUUGCCAUCGGAUGUGCCCAGAUGGGAUUAGCUAGUAGGUGGGGUAAAGGCUCACCUAGGCGACGAUCCCUAGCUGGUCUGAGAGGAUGACCAGCCACACUGGAACUGAGACACGGUCCAGACUCCUACGGGAGGCAGCAGUGGGGAAUAUUGCACAAUGGGCGCAAGCCUGAUGCAGCCAUGCCGCGUGUAUGAAGAAGGCCUUCGGGUUGUAAAGUACUUUCAGCGGGGAGGAAGGGAGUAAAGUUAAUACCUUUGCUCAUUGACGUUACCCGCAGAAGAAGCACCGGCUAACUCCGUGCCAGCAGCCGCGGUAAUACGGAGGGUGCAAGCGUUAAUCGGAAUUACUGGGCGUAAAGCGCACGCAGGCGGUUUGUUAAGUCAGAUGUGAAAUCCCCGGGCUCAACCUGGGAACUGCAUCUGAUACUGGCAAGCUUGAGUCUCGUAGAGGGGGGUAGAAUUCCAGGUGUAGCGGUGAAAUGCGUAGAGAUCUGGAGGAAUACCGGUGGCGAAGGCGGCCCCCUGGACGAAGACUGACGCUCAGGUGCGAAAGCGUGGGGAGCAAACAGGAUUAGAUACCCUGGUAGUCCACGCCGUAAACGAUGUCGACUUGGAGGUUGUGCCCUUGAGGCGUGGCUUCCGGAGCUAACGCGUUAAGUCGACCGCCUGGGGAGUACGGCCGCAAGGUUAAAACUCAAAUGAAUUGACGGGGGCCCGCACAAGCGGUGGAGCAUGUGGUUUAAUUCGAUGCAACGCGAAGAACCUUACCUGGUCUUGACAUCCACGGAAGUUUUCAGAGAUGAGAAUGUGCCUUCGGGAACCGUGAGACAGGUGCUGCAUGGCUGUCGUCAGCUCGUGUUGUGAAAUGUUGGGUUAAGUCCCGCAACGAGCGCAACCCUCGUCGUUAGUUGGAUGUGUCGGUACACUUACACAUUCCUCUCUAGCGAGACUGCCGGUGAUAAACCGGAGGAAGGUGGGGACGACGUCAAAUCAUCAUGCCCCUUAUGAUUUGGGCUACACACGUGCUACAAUGGCGCAUACAAAGAGAAGCGACCUCGCGAGAGCAAGCGGACCUCAUAAAGUGCGUCGUAGUCCGGAUUGGAGUCUGCAACUCGACUCCAUGAAGUCGGAAUCGCUAGUAAUCGUGGAUCAGAAUGCCACGGUGAAUACGUUCCCGGGCCUUGUACACACCGCCCGUCACACCAUGGGAGUGGGUUGCAAAAGAAGUAGGUAGCUUAACCUUCGGGAGGGCGCUUACCACUUUGUGAUUCAUGACUGGGGUG